GUUUGCCAGAAAUCCAUAGGUAAGCAAAUUUGCAUUGAUUCAUGCUACGCGAAUGCAUUAAUA
rfam:Raoultella ornithinolytica strain S12, complete genome.